AAUGUAUUUGGGGCAAAUACGUAUCCCAUGAAAAAGGGUCGCAGUUACUUGAGAUUCCUUUGGGAGGCUUGGCAAGAUCUGACUCUCAUCAUCUUAAUUGUAGCUGCUGUACUAUCACUGGCACUUGGAAUACACACAAAGGGCCUGAAAGAAGGAUGGUAUGAUGGUGGAAGCAUAACUUUUGCCGUACUUCUUGUUAUUUUUGUAACAGCAACAAGUGACUACAGA
rnacentral:misc_RNA from 1 species